rnacentral:rRNA from 1 species
GUGCACCAGUCGCGAAAACUCCGCAAUGCUCGAAAGAGUGACGGGGGAUUCCAAGUGCCUACGCUCAGCGUAGGCUGUUCAGAUGCCUAAAAAGCAUCUGGAGUAAGGGCUGGGUAAGACGGGUGCCAGCCGCCGCGGUAAUACCCGCAGCUCGAGUGGUAGUCGAUUUUAUUGGGCCUAAAGCGUCCGUAUCCGGUCUGGUAAAUGCUUGGGUAAAUCGUGGGGCUCAACCCUACGAAUUCCGGGUAGACUGCCAGACUUGGGACCGGUUGAGGAAGAGGGUACUUCAGGGGUAGGAGUGAAAUCCUGUAAUCCUUGAAGGACCACCAGUGGCGAAGGCGCUCUUCUAGGACGGGUCCGACGGUGAGGGACGAAAGCCA